CCUACGGGAGGCAGCAGUGGGGAAUUUUGGACAAUGGGCGCAAGCCUGAUCCAGCAAUGCCGCGUGAGUGAAGAAGGCCUUCGGGUUGUAAAGCUCUUUUGUCAGGGAAGAAACGGUUGAGGCUGAUAUCCUCGGCUAAUGACGGUACCUGAAGAAUAAGCACCGGCUAACUACGUGCCAGCAGCCGCGGUAAUACGUAGGGUGCAAGCGUUAAUCGGAAUUACUGGGCGUAAAGCGUGCGCAGGCGGUUUUGUAAGUCUGUCGUGAAAGCCCCGGGCUUAACCUGGGAAUUGCGAUGGAGACUGCAAGGCUUGAAUCUGGCAGAGGGGGGUAGAAUUCCACGUGUAGCAGUGAAAUGCGUAGAGAUGUGGAGGAACACCGAUGGCGAAGGCAGCCCCCUGGGUCAAGAUUGACGCUCAUGCACGAAAGCGUGGGGAGCAAACAGGAUUAGAUACCCUGGUAGUCCACGCCCUAAACGAUGUCUACUAGUUGUCGGGUCUUAAUUGACUUGGUAACGCAGCUAACGCGUGAAGUAGACCGCCUGGGGAAGUACGGUCGCAAGAUUAAAACUUAAAUGAAUUGACGG
rnacentral:rRNA from 1 species